rnacentral:rRNA from 1 species
UACGUAGGGACCGAGCGUUGUCCGGAUUCAUUGGGCGUAAAGAGCUCGUAGGCGGCCACUCAAGUCGAAUGUGAAACCUCGAGGCUUAACCUCGAGCCUGCAUUCGAUACUGGGUGGCUAGAGUCUGGUAGGGGGAUCUGGAAUUCCUGGUGUAGCGGUGGAAUGCGCAGAUAUCAGGAGGAACACCGGUGGCGAAGGCGGGUCUCUGGGCCGAUACUGACGCUGAGGAGCGAAAGCGUGGGGAGCGAACAGG